CGCAUGGUGAAAAGAGAAAAGGUGGCCUCUUUACAAUGCUGCCGCUUACAGAUGAAUCCGCGUCCCAUUAGCCAGUUGGUGGGGUAACGGCCCACCAAAGCGACGAUGGGUAGCCGGCCUGAGAGGGUGAUCGGCCACACUGGAACUGAGACACGGUCCAGACUCCUACGGGAGGCAGCAGUGGGGAAUCUUCGCAAUGGGCGAAAGCCUGACGGAGCAACGCCGCGUGAGCGAAGAAGGUCUUCGGAUUGUAAACCUCUGUGACAUUGGACGAACAGAUUUCUUGUAAACAGCAAGGAACAAAUGACGGUACAAUAAGAGGAAGCCACGGCUAACUACGUGCCAGCAGCCGCGGUAAUACGUAGGUGGCAAACGUUGUCCGGAAUUACUGGGCGUAAAGGGCGAGUAGGUGGUUUAUUAAGUCAGAAGUGAAAACUCCGGGCUCAACCUGGAGACUGCUUCUGAAACUGGUAGACUUGAGUGCAGGAGAGGGAAGUGGAAUUCCUAGUGUAGCGGUGAAAUGCGUAGAUAUUAGGAGGAACACCAGUGGCGAAGGCGACUUCCUGGCCUGUAACUGACACUGAGGCGCGAAAGCGUGGGGAUCAAACAGGAUUAGAUACCCUGGUAGUCCACGCCGUAAACGAUGAGUGCUAGGUGUCGGGGGUAUCGACCCCCUCGGUGCCACAGUUAACACAAUAAGCACUCCGCCUGGGGAGUACGGUCGCAAGACUGAAACUCAAAGGAAUUGACGGGGGCCCGCACAAGCGGUGGAGUAUGUGGUUUAAUUCGACGCAACGCGAAGAACCUUACCAAGGCUUGACAUCCCGUGACCGCUGUGGAAACAUGGUCUUGCAAGUUUACUUGCACACGGAGACAGGUGGUGCAUGGUUGUCGUCAGCUCGUGUCGUGAGAUGUUGGGUCAAGUCCCGCAACGAGCGCAACCCCUACAGCCAGUUGCCAGCACAUAGAGUGGGAACUCUGGCAGAACAGCCGUUGACAAAACGGAGGAAGGUGGGGAUGACGUCAAAUCAUCAUGCCCCUUAUGUCUUGGGCUACACACGUACUACAAUGGCCUGAACAGAGGGAAGCGAAACUGUGAAGUAGAGCCAACCCCUAAAAACAGGUCCCAGUUCGGAUUGUAGGCUGCAACUCGCCUACAUGAAGUCGGAAUCGCUAGUAAUCGCAGGUC
rnacentral:rRNA from 1 species